CACCCCACACACACACAUUCCAUCCCGUUAAACAAUUCCAUGUGAAGCCGUUCCCGAUGUCCCAUCGGGGAUUUCGAGAUUCCUCGCCUCUUUUCCACGCGAAUUCACAUGAUUGAUGCGAUAAAUGUGGUGCGAUUUGACGUGGCAUCU
ensembl:ncRNA C06E7.92 ncRNA